rnacentral:lncRNA from 1 species
CAUUGCAAACUGGAAUGGGAGAUCUGAAUUGGACUCUGAACUAAUUCUUAUUCCAAAGCUUGUAGUGAAUUCUGCAGGCUUAAGCGCUCCAGCCAUUGCAAAACGAAUGAAAGGUCUACCUGACGGUAUUAUACCUGCUUCUCAUUAUGCUCGUGGUUGCUACUUCACACUUUCAAACACUAAAUCCCCUUUCAAGCAUUUGAUUUAUCCUAUACCUGAGGUUGGUGGCCUUGGAGUGCAUGUUACCUUGGAUUUGAAUGGCCAAGUCAAAUUUGGUCCUGAUGUCGAAUGGAUUAAAGGAAUUGAUGAUAUU